UUUGUUAGUAAAUUACCUGUUAUUAUUAAUGUUUUUCUUUUCAUUUUAUACAAGUUGGGCCCCUUUUUUCAGAUUUUUGGUGCAUGGAUCAUAUAUAAUAUCAGAAUUUAGGUCACUGAACAAUGGCCUCACUUGUAAAAACUGAAAAAUCCAUUGUAUAUAAUCUCCUAUAUGUCAUGUAUGCUAACUGUUUGAUGAAAUGUCUCAACAAGGAAUGUUUUGUGUGGAUCGCAUUUGAGUUCCAUUUUUUUUCUCUACCCAUGAGUUGGCCCAUAUGGUUGUAUGGUUGGAUGACUGCAAAUUUUUUUGAAAGUUAUGGAAAAUUAGUAAGUGAUAUUUUCUGAAAUUAGGUCCCUCUCUUGUUGAGCAUUGCUAUUAGUCAUUGUUUUUAUUUUUAUUUUUAAUUAAUCUGUGUUUCUAUGUACACCAUCUGCUGUCAUCCUGCGAUAUUUGGUUUGGAAAAUCAGCUUGUGAUUUAUAGGAACUGGUUUUAUCUUGUGUUUGAAGAAUCAGUUGGACACCAUCUGUUGUUGUCUUGUGAUAUCCCAUAUGCUGUUUGCAACAAUCCGCUUGUGAUACAUCGUUUGAAGUAGAUUGUGAUGUGUUGUGAAGGAAUCCUGUGAUAUGUUGCAAAAAUCAGACCAUCUGCCAUUAUCUGUAUGCCAUCUAUUGAGUAUGUUGGCAGGUCUUUUGGGUUUUUCUAGAGGAUCUGAUUGAUUCUAUGCACAGAAUUCAUCAUUAUUUACAAAAGGGAGCUAAAAACAAAGAGUUUUUCCAUUCGAAAAAAGGUCUGUUUUCUGCCAUCUAUUUCUCUCAUUAAUCAGCUUACCAUGACAAGCAGAUUCCUAAUACUACAUGGAUCUACUUUGAGCUAUUAGCUCCCCCAUUUUGCGUGGUCAAAAUAAAUGUAAGCUCAUGAUAUAUGAUUUAAUUGUGGACUUGUUCUGCGUAUGAACUGAAUGUUUCUUUUGCAUGUGCUCCUUGGACUCGGAUUGCGUAGUGUGGCACACAGCACCAAUGUCAGUACUGUGCACUAUUGGAAAAGCUGUGGGGCCCAUCAUGAUAAGGAAAAACAGAAGCAGGAAGGACACUGAAGUGGCAUAUGCAGAAGGACAGAGAAGUUUACAUUUUCUUCAUUCUUCUUUUCACUUCUCUGAUAUUCCAUUGUAUUAAAGAAGUCUUGUACUAAGAAAGAUUUGAUUCACAACUUAGAAAAUCACAAAGCAACAAUAUUUUUGUGAAUACAAAUUCCUCAUGUUUGAAGUAAUCAAA